rnacentral:lncRNA from 1 species
ACUAGCGGGAGGGGGCCGGGCUAGCGGGCUACUGGGCUGCGGAGACCAGAGCCCGGCUCCACUGAAGAAACCCGCCGGCUGCUGGGGCAGGGCGGCGAAAGGUCAGUCGGCCGAGAGGAGUCCGUGGAGCCACCGUUUCAUAGCCUCAGGGAAAGGAUCGGGCGUGCUCACGAGCCCUCUAACCCAUGGCUUAAACACCCGCUUCCUAAGCCUGGGUACUUCCUAAGCGUGGCUACUCCAAUGAAGCUUUAGUAUAUGUACUGAAAGAAGAUCCUCUCAUACUGCCACAGCCAAGAGAUAAGGUUGUAAAUCUUUAUUGGGAGAAGCCGUCAAGGACAGUUCUGUGAAAUGAAAGGAUCUCUGGAUCACCACAAAGUCUGGCUCAGUGACUAUGGCUUUGCAAACACUAAACAUUCCUGUCUCAAGUCCUGUAGAUGGCUUGAAAUAGUAUACAUAAGCAUGCCUUAUAAACAUCUUCAGUCUUUAUCAACUCUUUGGAGAUUCAGCCAUUCUUUUUUGUACUUUAGGGAAUUAAAUCAUUUUAUAAUGUAUAAAUCUGAGCAUGGCCGAUGGCAGAAGAAAUUUUGUCAUACGUUUUUAAAGAAAUAAAAAUGUAUUAUGUUUUAAAAUUCCUUUAACUGUUUUUCUUACAAAAUUCCCAACAACUUAGUUACCAAGUAAACUAUCUCAGAUAUGAUUUUUCAGUCCUUGCUAAUCUAUUUAUAAAAUCUUUUGCUAUUUU